rnacentral:lncRNA from 1 species
CUAGAUCUAACAAUUAAAUCUAACAUUGCAAUAAAUAUAAAAUAAAAAUCAUUAUCAAAUAAUUUUGAUAUUAAUUUUUUUUAGUCCAAUGGUUGGAGAAGGUAUUCUUCAAGUCACUUACAAUCACACAAAGUCAUCUGGUCUCUACAGAAAAAUCCACGCAAAGAUGGCACAGAUCAGAGGCUUGGAGGUGCUAGCCUGCAAGCAACUUCGACAACUGAUCUUUUCCUUCUUCUUCAAGCACCUUGGAUACUCUAAAGUAAUAGAAGAUCUGGAGGUAGAAGAGAGGAGG